rnacentral:tRNA from 1 species
AGGGGAGUAGCUCAAUUGGUAGAGUAGCGGACUCCAAAUCCGUUGGUUGCAGGUUCGAGUCCUGUCUCCCCUGCCA